rnacentral:rRNA from 1 species
UUAAGCGACUAAGCGUACACGGUGGAUGCCCUGGCAGUCAGAGGCGAUGAAGGACGUGCUAAUCUGCGAUAAGCGUCGGUAAGGUGAUAUGAACCGUUAUAACCGGCGAUUUCCGAAUGGGGAAACCCAGUGUGUUUCGACACACUAUCAUUAACUGAAUCCAUAGGUUAAUGAGGCGAACCGGGGGAACUGAAACAUCUAAGUACCCCGAGGAAAAGAAAUCAACCGAGAUUCCCCCAGUAGCGGCGAGCGAACGGGGAGCAGCCCAGAGCCUGAAUCAGUGUGUGUGUUAGUGGAAGCGUCUGGAAAGGCGCGCGAUACAGGGUGACAGCCCCGUACACAAAAAUGCACAUGCUGUGAGCUCGAUGAGUAGGGCGGGACACGUGGUAUCCUGUCUGAAUAUGGGGGGACCAUCCUCCAAGGCUAAAUACUCCUGACUGACCGAUAGUGAACCAGUACCGUGAGGGAAAGGCGAAAAGAACCCCGGCGAGGGGAGUGAAAAAGAACCUGAAACCGUGUACGUACAAGCAGUGGGAGCACGCUUAGGCGUGUGACUGCGUACCUUUUGUAUAAUGGGUCAGCGACUUAUAUUCUGUAGCAAGGUUAACCGAAUAGGGGAGCCGAAGGGAAACCGAGUCUUAACUGGGCGUUAAGUUGCAGGGUAUAGACCCGAAACCCGGUGAUCUAGCCAUGGGCAGGUUGAAGGUUGGGUAACACUAACUGGAGGACCGAACCGACUAAUGUUGAAAAAUUAGCGGAUGACUUGUGGCUGGGGGUGAAAGGCCAAUCAAACCGGGAGAUAGCUGGUUCUCCCCGAAAGCUAUUUAGGUAGCGCCUCGUGAAUUCAUCUCCGGGGGUAGAGCACUGUUUCGGCAAGGGGGUCAUCCCGACUUACCAACCCGAUGCAAACUGCGAAUACCGGAGAAUGUUAUCACGGGAGACACACGGCGGGUGCUAACGUCCGUCGUGAAGAGGGAAACAACCCAGACCGCCAGCUAAGGUCCCAAAGUCAUGGUUAAGUGGGAAACGAUGUGGGAAGGCCCAGACAGCCAGGAUGUUGGCUUAGAAGCAGCCAUCAUUUAAAGAAAGCGUAAUAGCUCACUGGUCGAGUCGGCCUGCGCGGAAGAUGUAACGGGGCUAAACCAUGCACCGAAGCUGCGGCAGCGACGCUGAUGCGUUGUUGGGUAGGGGAGCGUUCUGUAAGCCUGCGAAGGUGUGCUGUGAGGCAUGCUGGAGGUAUCAGAAGUGCGAAUGCUGACAUAAGUAACGAUAAAGCGGGUGAAAAGCCCGCUCGCCGGAAGACCAAGGGUUCCUGUCCAACGUUAAUCGGGGCAGGGUGAGUCGACCCCUAAGGCGAGGCCGAAAGGCGUAGUCGAUGGGAAACAGGUUAAUAUUCCUGUACUUGGUGUUACUGCGAAGGGGGGACGGAGAAGGCUAUGUUGGCCGGGCGACGGUUGUCCCGGUUUAAGCGUGUAGGCUGGUUUUCCAGGCAAAUCCGGAAAAUCAAGGCUGAGGCGUGAUGACGAGGCACUACGGUGCUGAAGCAACAAAUGCCCUGCUUCCAGGAAAAGCCUCUAAGCAUCAGGUAACAUCAAAUCGUACCCCAAACCGACACAGGUGGUCAGGUAGAGAAUACCAAGGCGCUUGAGAGAACUCGGGUGAAGGAACUAGGCAAAAUGGUGCCGUAACUUCGGGAGAAGGCACGCUGAUAUGUAGGUGAGGUCCCUCGCGGAUGGAGCUGAAAUCAGUCGAAGAUACCAGCUGGCUGCAACUGUUUAUUAAAAACACAGCACUGUGCAAACACGAAAGUGGACGUAUACGGUGUGACGCCUGCCCGGUGCCGGAAGGUUAAUUGAUGGGGUUAGCGCAAGCGAAGCUCUUGAUCGAAGCCCCGGUAAACGGCGGCCGUAACUAUAACGGUCCUAAGGUAGCGAAAUUCCUUGUCGGGUAAGUUCCGACCUGCACGAAUGGCGUAAUGAUGGCCAGGCUGUCUCCACCCGAGACUCAGUGAAAUUGAACUCGCUGUGAAGAUGCAGUGUACCCGCGGCAAGACGGAAAGACCCCGUGAACCUUUACUAUAGCUUGACACUGAACAUUGAGCCUUGAUGUGUAGGAUAGGUGGGAGGCUUUGAAGUGUGGACGCCAGUCUGCAUGGAGCCGACCUUGAAAUACCACCCUUUAAUGUUUGAUGUUCUAACGUUGACCCGUAAUCCGGGUUGCGGACAGUGUCUGGUGGGUAGUUUGACUGGGGCGGUCUCCUCCUAAAGAGUAACGGAGGAGCACGAAGGUUGGCUAAUCCUGGUCGGACAUCAGGAGGUUAGUGCAAUGGCAUAAGCCAGCUUGACUGCGAGCGUGACGGCGCGAGCAGGUGCGAAAGCAGGUCAUAGUGAUCCGGUGGUUCUGAAUGGAAGGGCCAUCGCUCAACGGAUAAAAGGUACUCCGGGGAUAACAGGCUGAUACCGCCCAAGAGUUCAUAUCGACGGCGGUGUUUGGCACCUCGAUGUCGGCUCAUCACAUCCUGGGGCUGAAGUAGGUCCCAAGGGUAUGGCUGUUCGCCAUUUAAAGUGGUACGCGAGCUGGGUUUAGAACGUCGUGAGACAGUUCGGUCCCUAUCUGCCGUGGGCGCUGGAGAACUGAGGGGGGCUGCUCCUAGUACGAGAGGACCGGAGUGGACGCAUCACUGGUGUUCGGGUUGUCAUGCCAAUGGCACUGCCCGGUAGCUAAAUGCGGAAGAGAUAAGUGCUGAAAGCAUCUAAGCACGAAACUUGCCCCGAGAUGAGUUCUCCCUGACCCUUUAAGGGUCCUGAAGGAACGUUGAAGACGACGACGUUGAUAGGCCGGGUGUGUAAGCGCAGCGAUGCGUUGAGCUAACCGGUACUAAUGAACCGUGAGGCUUAACCUU